CAGCCGCCGCGGUAAAACGAAGGGGGCUAGCGUUGCUCGGAAUGACUGGGCGUAAAGGGCGAGUAGGCGGAUUGCGCAGUCAGAUGUGAAAUUCCUGGGCUUAACCUGGGGGCUGCACUUGAGACGCGUAGUCUAGAGUGUGAAAGAGGGUCGUGGAAUUCCCAGUGUAGCGGUGAAAUGCGUAGAUAUAGGAAGGAACACCAGUGGCGAAGGCGACCACCUGGACUAAUACUGACACUGAGGUGCGAAAGCGUGGGGAGCAAACAGGAUUAGAUACCCCCGUAGUCCCUGUCUCUUAUAC
rnacentral:rRNA from 1 species